ensembl:lncRNA
GGCGGCGGCGGCGGCGCUAAGAGAGCUGAGGGAGCAGGCGCCGCCGCGCAGAAGACCCCGGGCUCGCACAGCCUGCUGGGCCGCGGGGAAGCCGCCCGUCCCUCCCUCCGCCCGGUCGCCCAGGUGCAGUGUGACCAGCUGCCUCAAGUUCCUGCUAUCCCAGCUUGGUGAACUCGAAUUUUGAGCCAAAUAAACCCAUCUUCCCCCAAGUUGCUUUUGUUGGGGAAUUUUAUCAAGGAAACAGGAUGCCCCUCCAUUAUGCUUAUCAAGAGGACACAACUUGUCCUACAAGAUUGAAUAACAGCUUUGUCAUCUCUGUUCUGAGGGGCCUCAUCCAAGAUCUCAGAGACCACUGUGCAUGCAAAUCUAUUGUUUCCCAUCUGAACCCCAAACCACCUGUGGCCAGUAUAAAUCCUGGAAUAGAGGAGGCUUAAAAAAAACGAAAAAUUAACCAAGACCCAGUAAGGCUUCUUAUGGAGACUAAUGCAGAGAUUUGUAGUGAUCCCUGAAGUAUCCAACCAUCAAACACCCCCAGCUCUGAGGCUGAGCCUGCCUAUCUUGGGGAAGCCAUCCUGGGAGUAUGGAGAGAGGCCCUAGGCAAGUGUGUGACAACAGUAAUAGAGAGGGUGGUGUAGGGUUAGCAUGGACAAUCCUAGCCACUCCCAUCACUGUGUGAGGGUGUUGUGUGGGGACUCCUCUCAGUGAUAGGGGGUUUAUCCAGCUAGCACAAGGCCAUGAGUUCAGUCCCCAGCAUGGGGGAGGGGUAGAUCAAGAGAGGUCACACUGUGAAGAUGUCUCUGUUUUACCUCACCUACCCAAGGCACCUCUGAUUGGUCUAAUAUAGAGCUGAAUGGCCAGUAGCUAUGCAGGUGGGACUUUGGGAAGACAGAGGAACUUAGGAAAAGAAUCAGAAAGGCAAAGAUGCAACAGCCAGACAGAAGAAAUCCAUUGUAAAGUGCUGAGGGUUGGUACCAAGCCAAGUGGCAGAACAUUGAUUAAUAUAAAGGGAGUAAUUUAGGUUUUAAGAGCUAGUUGAGAACAAUGCUAAGACCAAGCAUUCACACUUAGUAAGAAGUCUCCGUGUCAUUAUUCCGAAGCUAGUAGUCCAAAGAAAGACCUGCUGCAGAGAGAUGAGCCUGCCCCUGCUCUGGGCAGCCCCCAGCCCCUGAGUGCUUGGGCUCACACUUUCCUUGCACAGCCCCUGAGUGCUUGGGCUCACACUUUCCUUGCACAAUCUGCUGCUGCUGUCAGUUUCCAUUAACAGUUGGUGCCUCUCAGGUGAGGGAUCUGUGCUUGGGGCUCACAGUGCUGUUCCUGGAGGGCUCUGGGCUACUCUGCUGUGUCAGGUCCAGACUGUCUUGUCGUCCUCUUUUAAAUUAGCGUCGGUUGGCUCAGUUCACUGCAGGGUCCCCAGAACCCAAGGCAGCAGCAGGCUGUCCUCCAGGAGAUCCAGUGCACUGACAUGGGCGGCCCACCAGAGAGCAGUACACGACCACACGAGCAGCACAGAGCCUGCAAACUCCAAGGUGGGCAUUGGAGGGUGUCAGGUCAGACAUUUUGUGAGUGAAUCUUGUCUUGGGGAUUAGUUGGGGCAGUUUGAAAUCUAUGACUAUAGGCCAGGUGUUAGUGGUGCACGCCUUUAAUCCCAGCACUCAGGAGGCAGAGGCAGGUGGAUCUCUGUGAGUUCGAGGCCAGCCUGGUCUACAGAGAGAGUUCCCGGACAGGCUCCAAAGCUACACAGAGAAACCCUGUCUCAACAACAACAAACCCCUAUCCCCCCAAAAAGGAAAGAAAUCUAUGACUAUAGAAGAUUUAGUAAAGAUUUCUACAAAGAAAAAUAAGGGGGAGUUUCUUUGUAACAAUCAGAAGCUAAAAGAUUAAAGGGAAAAAAUGGCUGAGCCAAGAGUGGUGCAAGAAGUUGAGGAUUCCAAGUUCAAGGCCAGCCUGGACAACAUGGUGAUACACUGUCUCAGAAACGAGAGGAGGUGCUCAGCCCACCUUCCCAGUACCUGCGGUGCCUGCCCCUCAUCAGGAGGCCUCUCUACAGCAAAUGGAGGCCAUCACAGAAAACCAUAACUAGACACAAAAGCAGAGAUGAACAGAUCAUAGGAUACGUGGAUACGUCUCCUUCACCUUCACAACUCCUUCACCUGUGGCUCAGGAAACAUUGAAGAAGAGGGAGCAGAAAGAUUGUAGGAGUCAGAAUACCAAGACGUUCCCCGUGAAUCAUCUCUCCUAGAAAUGGCUUGUAAAGAGGAAGUGUCCAGUGGCAGUAUCAGUGGACAUGGUCACAGGGAAGAGAGAGAGAGUGGGCAUGCUCACAGGGAAGAGAGAACGUUUCUCUGAGCACUACCUCUAGACAAAGAACUACAGGCCAUUAAUGGCUGCUGGGAGGAAAAGUUGGGCAGUGGUGGCACAUGGGAGGCAGAAGUGAAUUCGAGGCCACCAGAGUGAGUUCCAGGACAGCUGUGGCUACACAGAGACACCCUGUCUGGAAAAAGAAAAUUAAGACUGUAAAACUUAAGACUGUAAAAAUGGUAAUUGCUCAAUAAAUGACCUGAGGAAAGUGUGCUGGGGAGAUAAGUUGUAAUGACAGUGACUGCAGGUGCUGCUAAAAGGACAGAAUUGAGACUAGGGCUGAAUGUGAACAGCAGCUAUGGAAGACAAGAUGGGAAGAACUGGGCUGGAAACCCCCCACAUGCCAUUAGAGCCUCACAUGUGAACAGGGAGAGUUCCAGACUUGCACACAAGAACACAAGUCAAGCAGUUUAACACGGGAUAACUUAGCCUUUCAUAAAUCAUACAUGUUUUGUUAUCUAUAAUAAAACGUUUCAACAAA